AGAGAGCGACGGGCGAUGUGUACACACUUCAGAGCUCAUUUCAAUUAAGAAUUCUAUUUUUAAUUUACUACUAAAUCCACCUUCAUAAAUAUUUUACUUGCUUUAAUCCGUAUAAUUUUAACUUAUUGUAACCCACUACUCCCAUGGAUAUAGGCUGCACCUUGACCUGAAGUCCUAGUUCAACAACUAAUUAGAUUAUGUUCUUUAAAAUUAAUCAGACAACGGCGGUAUACAAACUGAAAACUAACCCAUGUGCAUUAAAUCGUGGAUUAUCGAUCCAAGAGCAGGUUCCUCUAGUAAGAAUGAAGUACCGCCAAAUUCUUUAGGUUUAAAAAUUUUUACUACCCAAGCAAGUAUAACAAUAAGGAAUAAUAGGGUAUCUAAUCCUAGUUUAAAACCUUAUUUCUAAAGAUUACGUAUUUUUUUACAAUUUUUUAUUUAAAGAACUAAAAAUUCUACCUUUGAUUCUUUAUUUAAAAAAUUUAUUUAAAACAAUAACUUACUUAAUUCCACUAAUAUAUUUUAUUUAAAUCUUUCGUAUAACC
rnacentral:rRNA from 1 species